rnacentral:rRNA from 1 species
CUCCGUCCUGUACCUCCUAAGUCUGACUGACGUUAACCCCGUUUGCUUAAGGUGUCGUCCCGGUCACUAGCGCUGUUAAACCUCAAACCGGCCGUUUUUGGGAUUACCGCCCCGUUAGACAAUCCUUUUCCUUUUACCGAGGGAUUGCCCAGUGAAAAUUGGAAUGAUACCUCAUACAUUCUUGAAUGACAUCACUUGAUUAUUAUAGUUCCCACGGUAAACACGACUAUGCGUCCCCUUAGCUAGAUGGCAAGGUAACGGCUUUCCUUGGCUUAGAUGGGUAGCGGCCCUGAGACGGAGUUCCCCCACAUUGAUCCUGAGACGCGGCCCAGGGCUCCUGCGGGAGGCAACCUGAUGAAUAUUGGACAAUGGGCGCAAGCCUGAUCCAGCCAUGCCGCGUGCAGGAGAGAAGGUCCUAUGGAUUGCAAACGGGCUUUAUGACAGAAGAAACACCUCUACGUGUACAGACUUGACGGUACUGUAUGAUUAAGGACACGGCUUAACUUCCGUGCCAGCAGCGGCGGUAAUACGGAGGGUGCCAACGCGUUAUCCGGAAUCAUUGUGUUUACAAGGGUCCAGUAGGCGGCCAAAUAAGCAGUGGUGAAAAGACCCUUCGCUCCAGCGAUGGAUCGGCCUUGAUACUGUUUGGCUUGAUCAUUGGAAAGAAAGUGAAUAUGUAUGUGUAGCGUUGAAACCUUAGGAGAUUACAUGCAUACAAUGCGAGUAGUCACUGGUAUAUUGACGCAUGUAUGUCAAGAAACAUGAGCAACGACAGGAUUCAGUCCCCAGUAUUCUCGUCGUAUUAAAGACACUCCCCAUACAACUUGAGUUAAAUAUUAUAAGUCACUACUUCGAGUAUUCCU